AGAGUUUGAUCAUGGCUCAGGAUGAACGCUAGCUACAGGCUUAACACAUGCAAGUCGAGGGGAAACGACAUCGAAAGCUUGCUUUUGAUGGGCGUCGACCGGCGCACGGGUGAGUAACGCGUAUCCAACCUGCCCACCACUUGGGGAUAACCUUGCGAAAGUAAGACUAAUACCCAAUGACGUCUCUAGAAGACAUCUGAAAGAGAUUAAAGAUUUAUCGGUGAUGGAUGGGGAUGCGUCUGAUUAGCUUGUUGGCGGGGUAACGGCCACAAGGCGACGAUCAGUAGGGUUCUGAGAGGAACGGUCCCCCANAUUGGAACUGAGACACGGUCCAAACUCCGUACGGGAGCA
rnacentral:rRNA from 1 species